CCGCGGUGUCCGAUCCAGUGUGGAGCUCCGCUCCUCGCGUUCUGGUCCCAGAGAAACGAGGGGAGAAACUCGGGGAGCGACCACCUCCACAACUCGAGUAAACAAAUGGAUGCCGCGGCGUUUUGCGGUAAAAAUAUGAAAAAUGUGACCGGACUGCGUCGAAUACAAAGAGGAAGAUGCCAGGGCACAAGAGGAAAUACAAUGUCCGGUUCCCUCCGAGUCGAAUCAAGAAAAUCAUGCAAAAGGACGCAGAGGUUGGGAGGAUUGCGACCGCAGUUCCUGUCAUCAUCUCUCGAGCGUUGGAGAUGUUCCUGGAGUCUCUUCUCACCAAAACGUGUCUGAUAACUCAGUCAAAGCUCAGCAGCGCCGUGUCUGUGGCUCACAUACCUGGUGGAGGGAGCCACGUCUGCUGCAGCCCAGAAGAACGACAGAGGCACCGGUAUAUGGCCUUUAUUCAGGUACAUGCCAGACAUGUCAAUAUUCCUGUGCCACGGGCGUGUUUUUGCUGAAGGUCGUUGGUGUCAGCAUCACUCCAGAGAUUGCUGACCAUCAAUGUAUGGUUUUCAAAUCCAGACACAGACAGCUGCUGUUCAAAGCAUUUAGAAACAGGGCAGGAACCUUCAGCUGUUAAAAAAAUGCUGCAGAUCUCAGUUUGAUGUCAAAAGGUUUUGGUGCAAAGACAUUGUGCAACUCUAGUCAGGCUGAAAAAUCUACAGCUGCAGAGCAGACACAGCUGCAGAUGAGACAGCUGCAGAUGAGACAGCUGCAGAUGAGACAGCUGCAGAUGAGACACAGCUGCAGAUGAGACAGAUGCAGAUGAGACAGCUGCAGAUGAGACAGCUGCAGAUGAGACACAGCUGCAGAUGAGACAGCUGCAGAGCAGACAGCUGCAGAGCAGACACAGCUGCAGAUGAGACAGCUGCAGAUGAGACAGCUGCAGAUGAGACAGCUGCAGAUGAGACACAGCUGAGAUGAGACAGCUGCAGAGCAGACACAGCUGCAGAUGAGACAGCUGCAGAUGAGACAGCUGCAGAGCAGACACAUCUGAGAUGAGACAGCUGCAGAGCAGACACAGCUGCAGAUGAGACAGCUGCAGAGCAGACACAGCUGCAGAUGAGACAGCUAUAAAGCAGACACAGCUGCAGAGCAGACACAGCUGCAGAUGAGACAGCUGCAGAUGGGAGACCUGCAGAGCAGACAAGGCUGUAGAUGAGGCAGCUGGAGAGUUUUUCUGCAGCUUCCAACAUUUUCAUUGUUCUGAGUAUUUGGUUUCAACUGGACAAACACUGAACUGCAGCUCUCUGUAGAAAGGCCUAUGCUUUAUUGACUUGUGGCAGGAUUUCUCUUUAAGGUACAAAGGACAGGAGGUUUCUGGUAGGAAACUGUCUGAAGGAGGAGACGUGGCGUCUCGCAGGAGCUUCGCCUCACUCGAAAGCGACUCGAGUUCCAGCGUACGUAACUUUUCUUAGACUCACUGUUGUAGAAACAAAUGAAUGAGAGCCAAAGGGUUAGCAGCAAUCCAACCAAAUCCUGCAGCCUUUAACCGCCUCAGAGAGGAGGCAUCCUCUGCCCUCGUACAGAGAAACUGGUGAAGCAGGUAUUUGCAGGUUGAAGGCAGGAGGACUCCUUACUUCCGUGCGUGUUUGCAGGAGGCGGAGCUCUACAUCUGCUUGUAGGCGUGCAGACAGCAGGAGUUUCAUCAUCUCUACACGUCCGGACCGGUCUGAUCACUUUGCUGCCGCUUCGGCUGGUAAAAACAAGAGUAUAUUAGGAGGAAUGACUUCCAGAUGGAAAGGAAAGCUUUUUUUUUAUAGCAUUAAUGAUGGAUUUUUGUUUCCGAGCUUUUUCGUUUGUUAUUGAACGUCUGUUUUUGGUUCCUAGAUGAGUUUAGUUUGACCUGAACGACAUAUUUGACGUGUGAUCUGCAGCUGAAGCACCUUUGAUGGAGCCCUGCUGCUGUUUUGUGCUUCAUUGAGGUUUCUGCAGAAAUCUACAAAACCAAAUGUUUUAUUUCACAGCAGAUAAAGUGUUUCUGUUUUUAAAGCAUGUGUAAGUUAAUGUUUUAAAGACAGAAAAACAUUUGCUAAUAAAAUGUGCUUAUUUAUGUCGGCCUGAAAGCCAGAAGGAAAACUCUCAGUUAAAUAAAAUAACAAAGCAAGA